rnacentral:rRNA from 1 species
UACAGAGGGGGCAAGCGUUGUUCGGAAUUACUGGGCGUAAAGGGCGCGUAGGCGGCCUGUUAAGUCGAACGUGAAAUCCCUGGGCUCAACCCAGGAACUGCGUCCGAUACUGGCAGGCUUGAAUUCGGGAGAGGGAUGCGGAAUUCCAGGUGUAGCGGUGAAAUGCGUAGAGAUGUGGAGGAACACCAGUGGCGAAGGCGACUCUUUGGUCUGUAACUGACGCUGAGGCGCGAAAGCGUGGGGAGCAAACGGG